rnacentral:rRNA from 1 species
UACAGAGGGUGCAAGCGUUGUUCGGAAUUAUUGGGCGUAAAGCGCGUGUAGGCGGCUUGGCAAGUCGGGUGUGAAAUCCCUCAGCUCAACUGAGGAAGUGCGCUCGAAACUGCUUUGCUUGAGUGCCGGAGAGGAUGGCGGAAUUCCCCAAGUAGAGGUGAAAUUCGUAGAUAUGGGGAGGAACACCGGUGGCGAAGGCGGCCAGCUGGACGGUUACUGACGCUGAGACGCGAAAGCGUGGGGAGCAAACAGG